rnacentral:rRNA from 1 species
AGAGUUUGAUCCUGGCUCAGGAUGAACGCUGGCGGCGUGCCUAAUACAUGCAAGUCGAGCGAAUGGAUUAAGAGCUUGCUCUUAUGAAGUUAGCGGCGGACGGGUGAGUAACACGUGGGUAACCUGCCCAUAAGACUGGGAUAACUCCGGGAAACCGGGGCUAAUACCGGAUAAUAUUUUGAACCGCAUGGUUCGAAAUUGAAAGGCGGCUUCGGCUGUCACUUAUGGAUGGACCCGCGUCGCAUUAGCUAGUUGGUGAGGUAACGGCUCACCAAGGCAACGAUGCGUAGCCGACCUGAGAGGGUGAUCGGCCACACUGGGACUGAGACACGGCCCAGACUCCUACGGGAGGCAGCAGUAGGGAAUCUUCCGCAAUGGACGAAAGUCUGACGGAGCAACGCCGCGUGAGUGAUGAAGGCUUUCGGGUCGUAAAACUCUGUUGUUAGGGAAGAACAAGUGCUAGUUGAAUAAGCUGGCACCUUGACGGUACCUAACCAGAAAGCCACGGCUAACUACGUGCCAGCAGCCGCGGU